rnacentral:lncRNA from 1 species
GAGACCUGUACCGGCGUCAGCGGAGCCUGCGGCUCUCGGGGUGAGGAGAUCCCGGCUCACCAAGGACGAUUGCCUGCCCACGCGGGCGUUCCCUUGUGACUGAGGCGGGAGCUGGCGUGCGUGGGUCUCUGUAGAGAAAAGCGGUGGAGUUGGAAUGGAGACGGUCUCCCAGCCCACCACUGGAAUUUCUCCUUCAUCGGUCUCUGAGUGUUGCUGUAACCGACAUCCUCACCAUGCUGUAACUGACUCAAGCUUAAGUUUGUUUCCUACUUAAGUUUUCCUUUUCAUUCACAUGGAUUUUAAUUUGUUAAAGUGCAGUUCUGCCAAGUUUAAGAAAAAUGCUGGGAAUGUGAGCUCACUUCUGCCCUAAGAACCAGCGUCUUCCCAUGACCUGCGUCCUAAAUUAGAGGACUUGGGUAUUUACAGAUAACCGGAGGUUGGAAGCAGGAAGGUGCUCACGCCAUGAACAGCUAACCUUGGCCUUCAAACGCAGAAGCUGGUGGCAUUUCUCCUAAAACUGCCCGAGAUGAACUAUGAAUCCACUGUGUUCUCAAGUAGCCUAUUUCCAAUUUAGGGCCAUAGCUAGUCUUUGGAAAGAGAUUUCAAAAUCCCAGUGACUAAGAGGCUGCAAAAGGAUGAUGGAUUGGACGUUUGGAACGUCCUUUCCCUCCCAUGCUUUCAGUGUAAUCGCUUACUCAGUUCAUCUCCCUCAAGUUUUAAGACAACCCUCCGACCUGGUAGGAAAGCUCGAAAGAACUGGAAGUGCCAGAGUUUGGAUGAUUUGUUGCUGCCCGCAGUAAUGAGGAUUUGAAUUGGUCUCAUCUUUGUUUUUAAGGAAACAGAAUCAACAAAUAAGUGAGAUGGCACUGUGCUAGGCAACAAGAACACUGCCAAAAACAAAAACACGGCCUGAGAAAGGUUUGAGAUAGAAGCAAAAAUAUAGUUGAUCAAUGAUGUCGUGCCAUAAAACAGUGCCAAAUGAAUUAUAUAAAGACAGUAAGUUUUUGUUGUUCUUUUUGUUUUGUUUUGUUUUGAGACAAAACAGGCCGUUGCCCAGGCUAGAAUAUCGUGAUCUUGGCUCACUGCAACCUCCGCCUCCUGGGUUCAAACGAUUAUCCUGCCUCAGCCUCCUGUGUAGCUGGGAUUACAGAUACGCACCACCACGCCCAGCUAAUUUUUGUAUUUUUAGUAGAGACAGGGUUUCGCCCUGUUGGCCAGGCUGGUCUCCAACUCCCGACCUCAGGUGUUCUGCCCGCCUCGGCUUCCCAAAUUGCUGGGAUUACAGGCAUGAGCCACUGUGCCUGGCCAGUAAGUUCUAUAUAAGAAUUCAGAAGAGGAAGAGUUUUUCCAGAUAAAAUACAUCAGGAAAAGUUUCAUGGAGGAACUAGGAAAUAUAGAUAGAAUUGAGAUAAGUAAAGAUAAAUUGAAAGAGCGUUCUACAUGCGUUUAGGGAAUAAACAAAAGUGUAGAUGCAGAAAAGUGGAUUUAGAGAACACUAAAGAGAAUACCCAGUUUGGUGCAAGGGAGAAUUCAUAUAAGAUCAAGAGGACACAUGAAAGGUUAGAUUGUAGAUGGAGCUCAGCAUAGGGGUUUGCGCUGUAUCCUUAAAAUAAUGGAGUCAUUGAUUUUUUGAAUAAAAAUAAGGGAAUAGCAAUGAAAGCAGUAAUCAAAGCAUGAGGUAUUAGAAGUCUGGGGUAGUGCUUGAGGCUGCGUUAGAGAUAGUGGCAGUGGUCUAGAAAGGAAGAGACACUUUCCAGAGAAAAUGUACAAAUGUAUUGAAAAGAAGUCUCUUAAAUAGAAAUGGAUGGAACAUAUUCAUUUCCUAAAUUAUCUUUAGUAUAACUAAUGACCCCCAUGCUGUACCAGACUGUUAAAUGAGUUGGAGGAGUAAGUCUGAGUCAGCCACUUACAAUUGUAACCUUAGGCAAAUCACUAAAUCCUCUGAUCUUUACUCUCCUCAUUUAAUAAAGUAUAGCAGUACUCACCCCACAGGAUAAUUGUAAGAAUGAAACAAAGUAAUACAUACGUGAAAAGUUAAUUUGUAAAGCAUUAGAUAAAUGUUAAUUAUUACUAUAUGGCAGUAGAUAGUAACCUCUACUUGAAAGUGUCAAAUAAGACUGGUAGUGUCCUUUGGAAAUAAGCAGUAUUAAAAAGCAUGAGUAAAACUCAUAAUAUAAUAACAUUAUGUUGUUGUAAUGAAUAGCAGUUACUAUGUUCCAGGCACUAUAAAUGGUGCUUUACGUGUAUCAGAUAAUUUGAUCUUCACCCCAGUAAUAAUCCUAUGAAGUAGUUACUGUUAUUUCCUCAUUUUACAGAUGAAGAAAUGAAGGUAAGGAAAGUUUAAGUAACUUGCCCAGGAAUGCACAAAAUAGUGACAAAGCCUGGAUUUGAACUCAGGCAGUCUGACUCCAGACGCUGCUCUUAAAUGCUAAGAAUGAUGAAAGAAAUUGUUUAGAUGGUAGAGUAAGUUCACCUGUAAAUGAAACCCAAAAUAGCCAUGAUUUAAACUUGAUAGAAUUUUAUUUCUCACAAAAACCUGGAGGUAGUACAGGCCUAGAAUGAUGGCUCUGCUUAAAGGAAUCCUUGAGUACUCAGGCUACUGGCAGCAUGCCAGCAUUCUGCUCUGCUGUCCCUAGACCUCAUGGUCCAAGAUGUAGUACUAGCCAUCAAACGUACAUUUCAAGUACAUUUCAAAGAAGAGAAGGGUCAUGGGGCACAUCCUGGCUGCCUUUAAAAGGAAGAUGCUCAAAAGCUACCCUAGGCCAGGCACAGUGCCUCACACCUGUAAUCCCAACACUUUGGGAGGCCAAGGCGGGAGGACUGCUUGAGCCCAGGAGUACUAGACCAGGCUGGGCUUUGGUGACACUCCUUCUCUACAAAAACUACAAAAAUAGCUGGGUGUAGUGGCACAGGCCUGUAGUCCCAGCUACUCAGGAGGCUGAGGUGGAAGGAAUUGCUUAAGCCCAGGAGAUUGAGGCUGCAGUGAGCUGUUACCACGCCAUUAGACUAUAGCCUGGGCAACAGAGUGAGAUCUCAAAAUAAAAAAGAAAAAGCUACCCCAAGUCUUUUCUGUUUAUAUGCUAUUGGUCUGAACUUAGUUAUGUAGGCAUACCUAGCUGCAAGGAGAUUUAGGAACUAGUUUUUAUUCUGGGCAACCAUGUACCUAACUAAAAAUAGAGGAUUCUUAAACUGUGGGAAAAAAAUAAAUGGCACUUUACAUCCCUUAUCUCUCUAAAUCCUUACAACAACCCUAUGAGUAGAUAACUUCAUUUUAAUGUGAGGAAACUGAGACCCAGAAAAUAAGUAAUUUAACCAAGAUUAUUCAAUAAGUGGCAGAACCAGAAUCAAAUUUAGGUCUGUCCAACUACAGAACCAGUGUUAUUAACCACUACUCCCAUACCUCCCAACCCAAGACAUAGAUCCAUUUAUUAUUAAACGAUGAGAAAGUAAUACUUGAGUAAAGCAAAGUCUCAGAAUUUACUUCCUGAAGUUUCCUAAAUAAUAAGAGGGAAAAAGAUUCAACAAACAGUAGUAAGGACAGAAGAUAAGUUGAAAAACUCAUGAAAAUUCUCACAAAAAAUGCUCCAAUUUGGAAAAGUAAAAUGUAAGUAUACAUUUUUAGAGGCUGAGGUGAAGAAGGGGCAUACGUUAGAGAAGAUCCUACAUAUUACUUUAGGUCUUCAGCAAAAAUAGUUUCACCAGGACCUGCCAUCAUCAGGGAGAUGGUUGAAUGAUGGUUGUACUAUGCAGAGUCAAAGGAAUAAUCCAACAUUCAUAGGUGUGAGAUAUAUCUUUGGCUGCAUGGGAUACGUCCUGGAACUGGUCAUUUCAUAGUACCUUAAGCAAGAGCAAAACCUUGUCUCUUAGUGGAGGCUGUACUUAGUCCCAGUAGAUUUCACCCAUUUUCCUGCUCUACUCUUUUCCAAUAUUAGGCUACAGAAAAGUGGGGAGGGGGGGAAACAGUAGUCAGCCACCAUAUUUUAGCUCUGAGAAGAUCAGUUCAUUCCUAGAUAAAGUGGGAAGGAUGUAAACAAUAACUUAUAUAAAAUAUAUCAGAAUAGAUACAUGAUCUAGAAAUAGCUGCCCCUAUCCAAACUGAGCAAGAUGAAAAGAAAGGGCGUAGCAAACACAAACUAAAAUCCUGAAAGAAAGGUAUAUAACAUGCAAAAGAUAGAUGAAGAACCCCAUCUGGAAGACAGUUUACAUUCUCUGCUAGAGAAGAACUUAGUUACAACAUGAAUUUAAGAUAUCAGUGACAUGGUUUGGCUGUGACCCCACCCAAAUCUCAUCUUGAAUUGUAACUCCCACAAUUCUGAUGUGUUGUGGGAGAAACCUGGUGGGAGGUGGUUGAAUGAUGGGGGUAGGUCUUUCCUGCACUGUUCUCGUGAUAGUGAAUGAGUCUCACGAGAUCUGAUGGUUUUAAAAACAGAAGUUCCCUGCACAAGCUCUCUUUGCCUGCCACCAUCCAUGUAAGAUGUGACUUGCUCCUCCUUGCCUCGUCUCAGAAAAAGAAAAGAAAAUCAUAAGGAGGAAAAGAUAUAUUUACUAUUCAUUAAGUGGAAGUGGAUCAUUAUAAAGGUCUUCAUCCUCAACGUCUUCACGUUGAGUAGGCUGAGGAGGAGGUGGAAGAGGAGUUGAUGUUGCUAACUCAGGAGUGGCAGAGGCAGAAUGAAACUCCUCAUAUAAAGUGGACCCACACAGUUCAAACUUGUGUUGUUCAAGGAUCGACUGUAUACUGAAAUAAUCCGAUGAAAGGGUGUUCCUAUAAGCUAAAAAAAAAAUCAUCCCACAGAUUAUUUACCUUUAAAUGAAGAGAUCUGGAGGACACUAUCUCAGCUUUUCAAACUUAGUGUCGUUAGUGGCAGAACAACUUGCUCCUCCUGCCUCCUGAUGUGAUGAGUAUAAAAUGCUGCAUAAAACAUUUUUACCAAAUAAUAUCUAACCCAAGUCUAAUUAAGCCUUGAGACCUAACUUUCAGUUUAUAGAAAAAAUGGCAUAGAUGAAUGAGUUAAUUGAAAUCACAAGAAAACAAUCAGGUAAAGCCAGAAGGUAGGACAGUAUAUAACACAAAUGACCUAGCCUCAUCAAAAGGUAAAUGUAAU